GUCUUUGUAGUGUAGUGGUUAUCACGUCUGCUUUACACGCAGAAGGUCCCCAGUUCGAGCCUGGGCGAAGACU
rnacentral:tRNA from 1 species